GCGAUCCCAGGUCAGGCGGGACCACCCGCUGAGUUUAA
rnacentral:rRNA from 1 species